rnacentral:rRNA from 1 species
GACGAACGCUGGCGGCGUGCUUAACACAUGCAAGUCGAGCGAUGAAGCUUCUUCGGAAGUGGAUUAGCGGCGGACGGGUGAGUAACACGUGGGUAACCUGCCUCAUAGAGGGGAAUAGCCUUCCGAAAGGAAGAUUAAUACCGCAUAAGAUUGUAGCUUCGCAUGAAGCAGCAAUUAAAGGAGCAAUCCGCUAUGAGAUGGACCCGCGUCGCAUUAGCUAGUUGGUGAGGUAACGGCUCACCAAGGCGACGAUGCGUAGCCGACCUGAGAGGGUGAUCGGCCACAUUGGGACUGAGACACGGCCCAGACUCCUACGGGAGGCAGCAGUGGGGAAUAUUGCACAAUGGGGGAAACCCUGAUACAGCAACGCCGCGUGAGUGAUGACGGUCUUCGGAUUGUAAAGCUCUGUCUUCAGGGACGAUAAUGACGGUACCUGAGGAGGAAGCCACGGCUAACUACGUGCCAGCCGCCGCGGUAAAAC